rnacentral:rRNA from 1 species
UGGGGAAUAUUGGACAAUGGGCGAAAGCCUGAUCCAGCCAUGCCGCGUGUGUGAAGAAGGUCUUCGGAUUGUAAAGCACUUUAAGUUGGGAGGAAGGGCAGUAAGCGAAUACCUUGCUGUUUUGACGUUACCGACAGAAUAAGCACCGGCUAACUCUGUGCCAGCAGCCGCGGUAAUACAGAGGGUGCAAGCGUUAAUCGGAAUUACUGGGCGUAAAGCGCGCGUAGGUGGUUCGUUAAGUUGAAUGUGAAAGCCCCGGGCUCAACCUGGGAACUGCAUCCAAAACUGGCGAGCUAGAGUAGGGCGGAGGGUGGUGGAAUUUCCUGUGUAGCGGUGAAAUGCGUAGAUAUAGGAAGGAACACCAGUGGCGAAGGCGACCACCUGGGCUCAUACUGACACUGAGGUGCGAAAGAGUGGGGAGCAAACAGG